rnacentral:rRNA from 1 species
AUUGAACGCUGGCGGCACGCUUAACACAUGCAAGUCGAACGGUAGCAGGCUCUUCGGAGCGCUGACGAGUGGCGGACGGGUGAGUAAUGCGUAGGAAUCUGCCUCGUUGAGUGGGAUAGCCUAGGGAAACUUAGGGUAAUACCGCAUAAGCCCUACGGGGGAAAUGCAGGGGAUCGCAAGACCUUGCGCAAUGAGAUGAGCCUACGUCGGAUUAGCUAGUUGGUGGGGUAAAGGCCUACCAAGGCGAUGAUCCGUAGCUGGUCUGAGAGGACGACUAGCCACACUGGGACUGAGACACGGCCCAGACUCCUACGGGAGGCAGCAGUGGGGAAUAUUGGACAAUGGGCGAAAGCCUGAUCCAGCGAUGCCGCGUGUGUGAGGAAGGCCUGCGGGUUGUAAAGCACUUUCAGUGGGGAGGAAAGAACCUAUGCCUAAUAAUGCGUAGGGAAAGAUGUUACCCACAGAAGAAGCACCGGCUAACUCUGUGCC